rnacentral:lncRNA from 1 species
AGCCUCGAAUGAACACUAAGAAAAAACAACAUAGCUGAUCAAUCGCUCCUUAAAAAUAAUAAGAUCAACACUCUUAGCCCUCACCUCCUCGCAAAGUACAUUUUUUCAACAAAACAAAGAAUCAUCAAUCUAAUUCAUAAUUCAAUUACAAUCAAUUGAAUAAAAAAAAUAGCCAACCAAGAAUGGGAAUAAGAAACCUCCCUUAAGGUCAAUGGUAAUUCGACCAGUGAAACCUGGAGGAAACUCCGAAUACCCCGAUAUCUCGAUUGGCUCAAUUCCCAAUAUUCAUAAUUCCAGCACCUACAUACAGAAAAACCAACACCCAAAUAACAAAUUUUAACAAAAAUAAAGAUCAAACAAACAAAUCUAAGUGCAUUGAGUAAAUGCACUAAACAUAUUAUUUUUGUCCAUUUUUUUUCUUUCUGAUUCACUCUUAUGUCCAUUUCUUACAAAGAAGAAGACAACAUAAAUAUGACAUUUCCAUUUACAUAUGUCAAGCACCGGAGUACUCAUGGCUGGUUUUUGAGUUCAGUUUCCAGCAAACUCUACUUUGUUUCUUCAUCUUUUGCAGUGGCGGUAGUUGAAGCCCUACAAAUCGGUGAGCUGUUCCCGAUGGUGGUCUUGUCGGUGACAAGCGGCAGCGAUAGCAACAUUUGAUUAUCCAUCAUCGGCGGUCAGUUUAUGGGGGGAGCGAGAAAGAGAAAGAAAGAAAGAUGGAGUUGCAGAGAGAGUGUAGUGAAGGGGCGGCUGAGUCUUUGCCAAAAAUGAGGGAUUAGGGUUUUCUUUUUGGUUUAAAAGGAAUGAGGAUAGGGUUUAUCCAGUCAUUAGAUCAACUGAUCAACGA